rnacentral:tRNA from 4 species
GUACGCUUAACUCAGCUGGAUAGAGUAGCGACCUUUUAAGUCGUUGGUCAUCGGUUCAAGUCCGAUAGCGUACACCA